CACAGACAAUGCAUAAAUGGGUCCAAGGAGUGAUAUGAAUUCCAAAAGGAAUGAUUUCCAGGAGGAAGAGAAACUUUUGAUGGUUGGCCUAAUAAAAUAGAACUACACAUUAGUGAAACUGAAUUCAAAGGCGCUUCCAACGCUGCUGCACACAGAUGAGCCCUCUCGCUGGAUCCCGUCCAACCCCAACGGCUGCGCGCACUGUAACCACCAUGUGUCAUCUGCAAACCAGAUAGUUUCUGUGCGGGAAAGACCAGCCAGCUUUCUUGGCCAAGCUGCUGCCAUAAAACACACUAGUGAUUUGGUUUUUCAUGUUUUUUUUUUAAGAUAUGCUUUGAUGCACAGGAUACGUUUGGUCUCACAUUGUCCAGAGCACUAUCAGAAAUGACUAGUUGAUGAAUGUUGUACCAGAAUCAGGUCACAUUUUGACAGGUUGUUUUGUGUCACUGCAAAUCAUUGCUUUACAAUAUGGACUUUUUUUCCCCCUUAACUUUUAAAUCUUAAGCGUAAGAAUAUAAAGUGCGGCUAAACACUCUCAAACAUUAGGAGUAAUCUGCCUUUAACAACUUAUAUGCAUCAGCUGCCUUUUGAUAUCGUUUGCAAAAAGCAAAGGCAUCAUGGGAUCUCUUAAAAGAACUGGAAAACUAAAUGUCAGAACUGCAUUUUUACACUCAGCUAGAGAAAUUCC
rnacentral:lncRNA from 1 species